UCAAACUAAUUUGAAAAUUAAAACUUUGAGCUUGCAAUGGUUUGGAAUUCUGCAAUUACGAGAUCAAUGAUUUCUAUAAAUUGCAUGACAUCCUAAGACAUAGAAUUAUGACUUACAUUCCUCAACAAAAUGACAUUGCUAAAAGAAUGAAUAUGAUCUUAUUGAACAAAGAUAGGUACAUACUUUUAAGUUCUGGUUUGCCCAAAUUAUUUUCGGGUGCAAAUGUUAAAACUGCUGCAUAUCUUGUUAAUAUGAGUCUUAUU
rnacentral:lncRNA from 1 species